rnacentral:rRNA from 1 species
UACGUAGGGUGCGAGCGUUGUCCGGAAUUACUGGGCGUAAAGAGCUCGUAGGUGGUUUGUCGCGUUGUCCGUGAAAACUCACAACUCAAUUGUGGGCGUGCGGGCGAUACGGGCAGACUGGAGUACUGCAGGGGAGACUGGAAUUCCUGGUGUAGCGGUGGAAUGCGCAGAUAUCAGGAGGAACACCGGUGGCGAAGGCGGGUCUCUGGGCAGUUACUGACGCUGAGGAGCGAAAGCAUGGGGAGCGAACAGG